rnacentral:misc_RNA from 1 species
AAGACUAUAGACCUGCGGAGUACCUGCGGAGGGAUCAUUACCGAAAACAAAACCAUAUGUGUAUAUGUAUAUUGUAUGGUGAGCGCGCCAAACAGGUGCGCUCGCUGUACAUAUAUAUACAUAUAUGUAUACACCCCUUGUGUGAACAACCGAUUCUAUGUGCAUGCAGUCGAGGCAAGAUGUUGGCAGUGCAGCAGUAUAGCGAGCACUGCUGACGCCAAGGCUGCUGCACAUGAUCAA